UACGCAUUAAACGUGAUAACAGAGGAAAGAAGCAGAAGACGUCAGCUGUGCCGGUCAAGCGAGCGACGGCGGUUUCGGUCCCCAGACCGACGUCAGGGCCAGGUUCCGGGAAGAACACAGACGAAGCUUAUGAGAAGUUUAUGAGAGAGAUGGAAGGCAUCUUGUAGAGCAUCUUCAGUACUUCAGAAGUCACUAGUCUUUUUGAUGUGGAGAACUCUCCAGGGAGUCUACUGUCGCACCAGUUCCGAGAAGAAAGCGUCUACAGGGACUGUACGCGGGAAAGCGCAUACACGGAUGUAUCCUAAGUCGUCUUGCGUCUGUCUCGUUUCAUUUCACUUUAACAGCGUUGGACUACGUUUUCAUUGGUCAAAAUUUACACUGUAUAUUCGACAAAUCUACCAUGUUAAAAGUCAUUUGUCUUUUUCCCGAUGUAGUAGAAAUACAAUUAAUACUCGUUGAAUGUUGAAUAUCAAUCAAGACUUCAAUUAUGUGUAAAAAGGAUACCUUGUAUACUUCAUUCGUAUGAAGAGUGCAUUCGCGUAAAAGAAACUUUUUAAAGCAUCGGGUGACAACCAGGGAAAAGUAUGGGGUUUUGUUGUAUAGUAGGGUUUUUUUGAUUGUCAAUAAAUAUUUCUUGAAAAAUCA